rnacentral:rRNA from 1 species
AUUCUGAAAUACUGGGCGUAUAGCGCACGCACGCGGUCUGUCUAGUCUGAUGUGUAAUACCCGGGGUCAACCUGGGGAACUGCGUUCUAAACUGUCAGGCUAUAGUCUCGUACAGGGGGGGUGUAAAUCUCCGUGUAUCGGUGUAAUGCGUAUAGAUCUCGGAGGAAAACCCUGGCGCAAGCGGCCCCCUGUACAAAAACUGACACUCAUGUGCGCAAGCGUGGGGGAGCCACAGGAUAUAUACCUGGUAUCUACCCGUUAAACAAAGUCUGCUUGGAGGUGUUCCCUUGAGGAAGGCAUCCGGACUACCCGUUAAGUUCCCCCUGGGAGAUCAGCUCAAGGUUAAACUAAUAUUUGGAGGGGGGCCCCUCCACGGGUGGGCCUGUGUUUUAUUU